CCCCUCCUCCCCCCCCAGUACAUCUUCUCUAUGCAUUAAUAACUGCCAAUCUAUUAGCCUAUUGCCCUGGUGCCACAUACAUAGCUGGAGAUUGGGGUGUUGUUCACUUUUUCCCAAAACGUCACACUGGCCAAGGUGAGUGAUCAGCUGAGCUGCAGUGUUACAUACCCCCAGAAGCUGGAAGAAGACAGCAACAAAGGAUGGGACAGCGAUACCGCCGGCACCAGGGGAUGGUGGAAGAUGGACCAAUAGAAGAGGGCGGCCUGGUGAAUCAUGUUUUGCAGCCGAGUGCACUAGGAAGGAAGAAGACAAGCCGAUGCCAUUGUGAUGGGCAAUGUUCUGCUGGAGACCUUGGGUAAUGGCAUCAUGUAGAUAUUACUGUGACACGUACCACCUACUUAAAGAUUGAAGGGGUGCUCCACUGGCCAGCAUUCGUAACUAAAC